GGGCUGCUUACCCUUUGUGGUAUUCAUGAUUCAGAAGGGAAACCUAAAUUGCUAUGCUCUUGCAAUGACAACUCUGUUUGCCUCUGUAACUAUGGUGCACAUUGAAGAUUUCCUCAAAGUCCACAUUCCUCAAGUUAGGAUACAGGCAGGUUGAAUCUGCAUUUGAGUACGCAAAGAUUUGAUAUAAGAGUUCUCAAUGAAAGCAAGCAAACCCACUUACCAUGGUCCAAGCUUACUGUCUGUUUAUAGCUGAAAUAUAUGUUGAACGCUAAGACUAUCUUUACACUUGGUGGUGACUGAAGUUGGAGAACAUGAGGUCGGAAGAAUGAAAUCUGCAAUUGACAUUGAAAACUUUCUUCAGGAUGGUUUCGGUGAUACAAAAAACCUGAAGAGGAG